CCUACGGGAGGCAGCAGUAGGGAAUCUUGCACAAUGGGGGAAACCCUGAUGCAGCGAUGCCGCGUGAGUGAAGAAGGCCUUUGGGUUGUAAAGCUCUUUCGUCGGGGAAGAAAAUGACUGUACCCGAAUAAGAAGGUCCGGCUAACUUCGUGCCAGCAGCCGCGGUAAUACGAAGGGACCUAGCGUAGUUCGGAAUUACUGGGCUUAAAGAGUUCGUAGGUGGUUAAAAAAGUUGGUGGUGAAAUCCCAGAGCUUAACUCUGGAACUGCCAUCAAAACUUUUUAGCUAGAGUAUGAUAGAGGAAAGCAGAAUUUCUAGUGUAGAGGUGAAAUUCGCAGAUAUUAGAAAGAAUACCAAUUGCGAAGGCAGCUUUCUGGAUCAUUACUGACACUGAGGGACGAAAGCAUGGGUAGCGAAGAGGAUUAGAUACCCUCGUAGUCCAUGCCGUAAACGAUGUGUGUUAGACGUUGGAAAUUUAUUUUCUGUGUCGCAGCGAAAGCAAUAAACACACCGCCUGGGGAGUACGACCGCAAGGUUAAAACUCAAAUGAAUUGACGG
rnacentral:rRNA from 1 species